CCUAAACCUCCAAACCAAAACCUAAACUUCUCCUCUACCUCAGCCUCCACUCUCCCUCUCCGUUUUCUUAUUCCCUUCUUCCACAGUAGUGGCGUUAAUUUAAAUCUGCAAGAAAGACAGAGUAGUAAGAGGGUAUUCCCGCUGCUUCUCAUUUAUGGACAAAAAUUUUAACUCGUGGGGUGCUCAAGAGAAAAGUGCCUUUGAGAAAUUUCAAUCUCUUCCAAUGCCUAACUCAUAUAUAGUGAUUACGGAGAGUGCUUCAUUAUUCUCGGAUGCGG